CUUUUUGUUCAUGUGACCUGGUAUGUUAUAGUAGAAACAUUUGAUAUCUCUUCUAGACUUGGAUAUUUCUCUGUAACAAUGUGGAUUUCUACUAUGACUUCUUCCACGUCUUUCUUGUUUUUUAGUAACAAAUGCACCAUAAGAAGAUUCUCCCUAUUCUUUCCUUCUGGUAUCUUCAUUUAGUAAACUAUCUUUAACCAUAUCUAACCAACUU
rnacentral:lncRNA from 1 species